UGAGGCCACAUCACGUAUAAACACCAGUUCCUGUACGAUCGCCGAAGUUAACACAAUCGAGCCUGGUCAGUACCUAGAUGGGUAACCGUUUGGGAAUACCCGCUG